rnacentral:rRNA from 1 species
GACGAACCGUCCGAACGUUAUUCGGAAUUACUGGGCUUAAAGCGCGUGUAGGCGGCUGGGCACGUCGGACGCUGAAAUCCCCCGGCUCAACCGGGGAAGGGGCGCCGAUACGGCCGGGCUGGAGGGGGGUAGGGGGGCCUGGAACUUCCGGUGGAGCGGUGAAAUGCGUUGAGAUCGGAAGGAACGCCCGUGGCGAAAGCGAGGCCCUGGACCCUUACUGACGCUGAGACGCGAAAGCCAGGGGAGCGAACGGG